UUACAUGCAAUAUGUUUAAUUGUUCAUUUUAUAUUUAUAGAGAGCUAGUUACAAAGAAGGAAUGGCUUCGCAAACUGUUGUUCGAGAAUUACAGUGUGACCUAGAGAACAAAGCCGAUGAUCUUAGCAAACUUCAAAAAGAUAUAUCGAAGAAUCACCAAAUUAGAAAGAA